CUUUCAUUCAGACGGAUGGCUUAAGAGCUAGAUUUCCUGGUAAAUUCAUCCACUUUAUUUUGCAACUUACUUGGGGGAGCACUUAGGGUAUCAUCCACAUACCUCCAAAGUUCCUCGACCCCUGUAACGUUUAAAUCAUUCACCAUUAUCUCGAAGAGCCAGGGCCCCAAUUUGCAUGGUUCAUUGUAGAGCGCCUGCUGAUACAUCCCUCCAUUCUGAGUACCAGUCAUUACUUAGUUUAACUCACUGCUUACGAUUCAGCAAAAAAUCCAACAUACAAUAGGUCUUGGCAGAUUUUAACUGGACAGUUUAACAUAUCUUUCUACCACAAAAUCUUCUGCAAAUCAUAGACUAUAAUAUGAUCGAGUUAGUGAAUUUGGGCGAAGAUUUUUAUUAACGUGAAGACUAUUGGUUUUUGCUUUGAUACUGGCACUAUGUUCCGUCGCUUCCUUCCACGACGGGGGAGACAGCUUGUGUGGUAAGAGGAGUUCAAAAUGUCGGUAACUACAUUGAUACGCAAGCAAAUCUGCAUUUUCUUUUAAUAGCCAGCCGCCAGCCCGGUAUACUGUCCGGCCGACCUUGUACUUUUUGUGGGUUGAGGUUUACAAGUUUCAUUCUCACUUCUUCCGUCGACACGCUAAGUAGUUCAUUGGACCGGUUCUCAGUGAAGUUGUUCACUAAUUUAUCAGUGAAGUCUCGAGACAGAGGAGCAAAAUUGCUCAUACGGGUGCAGAGAAAGGUGUCAUUGAUCUUAUUGACCAGAUCCUUUGUUGUCUUACCAGAUGACUCUUCCAUAUCACAGAAUAAGGUACACAGAAGGCCGACUUCUUCGUUUUUCCUAUGAUUUUCCUAUGAUUUUGGCGUAACUCGUGAUUCGUCAUCAAAUGCUGACGCCAUGGUCCUAGCCAGUGCGCGUUUGAGAGGCAUUCACCCCCCUGAUAUUAUUCAAAA